GCGAACGCUGGCGGCGUACUUUAACACAUUGCAAGUCGAACGAGGAUCAAUCGGUGUAGCAAUACAUUGGCGAUCCUAGUGGGCGCCAACGGGUGAGUAAACACGUGGGGUGACCUGCCCUAGAGUUUCGGAUACCCCCUCGAAAGGGGGGCUAAUACCGGAUUACGUUCCUCGGUUUGAAAGAUCGGGGGAGGAAAGGUGGCGCCAAGCUGCCGCUCUUGGAGGGGGCUCGGGCGGCCUAUCAGCUAGUUGGCGGGGUAAACGGCCCACCAAGGCUAUGGACGGAUAGCUGGUCUGAAGAGGACGACCAGCCACACCGGGGACUGAGACACACGGCCCCGACUCCUACGGGAGGCAGCAGGUGGGGAAUUUUCCCCGCAAUGGGCGAAAGCCUGACGGAGUGACGCCCGCGUGUGGGGGUACGAAGGCCUUCGGGUCCGUAAAACCCCCUGUCAGUGGGAAGGAAGGGUGUCAGGGCUAAUACCUCCGGCAUCUGACGGUACCUGGCAGAGGAAGCCCCGGCCAAACUCUGUGGCCAGCAGCCGCGGUAAGACAGAGGGGCAAAGCGUUGCUCGGAAAUUACUGGGCGUAAAGGGGCGCGUAGGCCGGGAUGGCAAGUCGGUCGUGAAAUCCCUCGGCUCAACCGAGGAACGUCCGAUCGAUACUGCUGUUUCUUGAGGAUUGCAGAGGAGACUGGAAUUCCCGGUGUAGCGGUUGAAAUGUGUAGAGAUCGGGAGGAACACCGGUGGCGAAGGCGGGUCUCUGGGCAAUUCCUGACGGCUGAGGCGCGCGAAAGCGUGGGGGAGCAAACGGGAUUAGAUACCCCGGUAGUCCACGCUGUAAACGAUGACGACUAGGUGUGGGGGGUUCAGUCCCUUCCGUGCCGCAAGCUAACGCAUUAAGUCCGUCCCGCCUGGGGGAGUACGGCCGCAAGGUUGAAACUCAAAGGAAUUGACGGGGGCCCGCACAAGCGGUGGAGCAUGUGGUUCAAUUCGACGCAACGCGAAGAACCUUACCCAGGCUUGAAGAGCGAGUGACCAUUCCCGAAAGGGAACUCCCCGCAAGGGCACUCGUAGAGGUGCUGCCAUGGCUGUCGUCAGCUCGUGUCGUGAGAUGUUUGGGUUAAGUCCCCGCAACGAGCGCAAACCCCUUGUUUUGCUGUUGCCAUCAGGUAAUGCUGGGCACUCUGCAAAGACUGCCGGUGAUAAACCGGAGGAAGGUGGGGAAUGACGUCCAAGUCAGCAUGGGCCUUUAUGUUCUGGGGCUACACACGUGCUACAAUGGCCCGAUACAAACCGUCGCGAGCUCCCGCAAAGGGGGAGCUAAUCGGAGAAAAGUCGGUCUCAGUUCGGAUUGCAGGCUGCAACUCGCCUGCAUGAAGUUGGAAUCGCUAGUAAUCGCGGGAUCAGCACGCCGCGGUGAAUACGUUCCGGGGCCUUGUACACAACCCGGCCCGUCACAUCACGAAAAGCCGGUUGUACUAGAAGUCGGCCAUAUCAACCCGCAAGGGGGAGAGGCCGCCUAAGGUAUGGUCGGUGAUUGGGGUG
rnacentral:rRNA from 1 species